rnacentral:rRNA from 1 species
AUUGAACGCUGGCGGCAGGCCUAACACAUGCAAGUCGAGCGAUAGCACAGAGAGCUUGCUCUCGGGUGACGAGCGGCGGACGGGUGAGUAAUGUCUGGGAAACUGCCUGAUGGAGGGGGAUAACUACUGGAAACGGUAGCUAAUACCGCAUAACGUCGCAAGACCAAAGUGGGGGACCUUCGGGCCUCAUGCCAUCAGAUGUGCCCAGAUGGGAUUAGCUAGUAGGUGGGGUAAUGGCUCACCUAGGCGACGAUCCCUAGCUGGUCUGAGAGGAUGACCAGCCACACUGGAACUGAGACACGGUCCAGACUCCUACGGGAGGCAGCAGUGGGGAAUAUUGCACAAUGGGCGCAAGCCUGAUGCAGCCAUGCCGCGUGUGUGAAGAAGGCCUUCGGGUUGUAAAGCACUUUCAGCGGGGAGGAAGGCGAUAAGGUUAAUAACCUCAUCGAUUGACGUUACCCGCAGAAGAAGCACCGGCUAACUCCGUGCCAGCAGCCGCGGUAAUACGGAGGGUGCAAGCGUUAAUCGGAAUUACUGGGCGUAAAGCGCACGCAGGCGGUCUGUCAAGUCGGAUGUGAAAUCCCCGGGCUCAACCUGGGAACUGCAUUCGAAACUGGCAGGCUAGAGUCUUGUAGAGGGGGGUAGAAUUCCAGGUGUAGCGGUGAAAUGCGUAGAGAUCUGGAGGAAUACCGGUGGCGAAGGCGGCCCCCUGGACAAAGACUGACGCUCAGGUGCGAAAGCGUGGGGAGCAAACAGGAUUAGAUACCCUGGUAGUCCACGCCGUAAACGAUGUCGAUUUGGAGGUUGUGCCCUUGAGGCGUGGCUUCCGGAGCUAACGCGUUAAAUCGACCGCCUGGGGAGUACGGCCGCAAGGUUAAAACUCAAAUGAAUUGACGGGGGCCCGCACAAGCGGUGGAGCAUGUGGUUUAAUUCGAUGCAACGCGAAGAACCUUACCUGGUCUUGACAUCCACAGAACUUUCCAGAGAUGGAUUGGUGCCUUCGGGAACUGUGAGACAGGUGCUGCAUGGCUGUCGUCAGCUCGUGUUGUGAAAUGUUGGGUUAAGUCCCGCAACGAGCGCAACCCUUAUCCUUUGUUGCCAGCGGUCCGGCCGGGAACUCAAAGGAGACUGCCAGUGAUAAACUGGAGGAAGGUGGGGAUGACGUCAAGUCAUCAUGGCCCUUACGACCAGGGCUACACACGUGCUACAAUGGCAUAUACAAAGAGAAGCGACCUCGCGAGAGCAAGCGGACCUCAUAAAGUAUGUCGUAGUCCGGAUUGGAGUCUGCAACUCGACUCCAUGAAGUCGGAAUCGCUAGUAAUCGUAGAUCAGAAUGCUACGGUGAAUACGUUCCCGGGCCU